rnacentral:misc_RNA from 1 species
GAUGAAGAACGCAGCGAAACGCGAUACGUAAUGUGAAUUGCAGAAUUCAGUGAACCAUCGAAUCUUUGAACGCACAUUGCGCCCGGCAGUAAUCUGCCGGGCAUGCCUGUCCGAGCGUCAUUUCUGCCCUCGAGCGAGUCCAGCAUCUAGGUGCUGGGCCCGCCCGGCGUUGGGGCACUACGGGAAGCCCUGUGCUGUCCCCCGUAGGCCCCGAAAUGAAGUGGCGGUCCUGCCGCGGCGCCCCCUGCGUAGUAUAACAGCUCGCUUCGGGACCCGGUGGAGGCCUGCCGUCAAACCUUACUCUCUAAGUUUGACCUCGGAUCAGGUAGGGUUACCCGCUGAACUUAAGCAUAUCAAUAAGCGGAGGA